GCCCGGGUGGCGAAAUUGGUAUACGCAGCAGACUUAAGAUCUGCCGUCCUCAACAGACAUGCCGGUUCGAGUCCGGCCCCGGGCA
rnacentral:tRNA from 1 species